AUGGACAUGAAAGCCACCACUCAGCUCCUGGGGUUCCUGCUGGUCUGGCUCCCAGGUACCAGAUGUGACAUCCAGAUGACACAGUCUCCAUCCUCCCUGUCUGCAUCUGUAGGAGACUCAGUCACCAUCAAUUGCCAGGCCAGUCAGGAUAUUGGUAACGAAUUAAGCUGGUAUCAGCAGAAACCCGGGAAAGGUCCUAAGCUCCUGAUCUAUUAUGCAUCCAUUUUGCAAAGUGGGGUCUCCUCGAGGUUCAGUGGCAGUGGAUCUGGGACAGACUACACUCUCACCAUCAGCAUCCUGGAGCCUGAAGAUAUUGCAACUUAUUACUGUCUACAGGAUUAUAGUACCCCUCCCACAGUGUUACAUGUCAUAACAUAA